AGGGAGCAAGAGAAGAAAGUGUCCACCUUGUUCGGCAUUUCUAUAAGGGAGAAGAGAUUUUUUUGGACAUGUUUGAAGACGAGUACAGGAGCAUGACAAUGAAGCCCAUGAAUGUGGAAUAUCUCAUGAUGGACGCCUCCAUCCUCCUGCCUCCAACGGGCACACCACUGACAGGCAUUGACUUCGUGAAGCGACUGCCAUGUGGUGACGUGGAGAAGACCCGGAGGG